AGAGUUUGAUCAUGGCUCAGGAUGAACGCUAGCUACAGGCUUAACACAUGCAAGUCGAGGGGAAACGACAUCGAAAGCUUGCUUUUGAUGGGCGUCGACCGGCGCACGGGUGAGUAACGCGUAUCCAACCUGCCCACCACUUGGGGAUAACCUUGCGAAAGUAAGACUAAUACCCAAUGACGUCUCUAGAAGACAUCUGAAGGAGAUUAAAGAUUUAUCGGUGAUGGAUGGGGAUGCGUCUGGAUUAGCUUGGUUGGCGGGGUAACGGCCCACCAAGGCGACGAUCAGUAGGGGUUCUGAGAGGAAGGUCCCCCANAUUGGAACUGAGACACGGUCCAAACUCCGUACGGAGGCA
rnacentral:rRNA from 1 species